CAUGUUAAUCUAAAAUUAUAUUUUGACAUUUAAAAAUUUAUACUAAAUUUUGAUUCUCUUAAGUUCUUUUUAUAUUUACCCUUGUCAGCGACUAUUUUCAAAUUUCAAUGAUGAUAGUUUUCAUUUUUAAACCCCAUGUUGAUCUUUUCACUUUCCUAACCAAAACCCACCAACUUGAUAGGGAGGGAAAGAGAGAAAGGGGCUAAAUUGAGGGUGGGUUUACUAAAGUCUAAGGAGAAAGAAAGAGAGUUUGAGUGCAGUAGAAGGCUACAGAAAGAACAAAGCAAUUUUUUGUUAUGGUAUAAAAGUUGGCAAGGGUCGAGCAUCAGUAUAUUAGGAGUGAGGGUGUCUUUUCUUUUAUUUCUGUUAAUUCUGUUAGUUUAACUUUUGCUUGUGAAACGCUGUGUUUUAGAUUUGUUAGAAUUAAUGAAAAUGUUAUGUUUUGGAGAGGGGAAACCUUUUAGUAAAAUGGUGCACAUGUGCCAGUUGUCAGAUGGGCAUUAUUUUCCAUUUUUAAGCAUCAAUCAGUGCUGGUUGUUGGUUAUGGAAUUUCAGAAUUAAUUUUUCAGUCUUCUUUCUUCUCUAAGCUUUCUUUCUCUCUUUUCUGUGGAAUUUCUUCUUUUUCUUGCAUCAAAGGUAUCGGAGCCUCUCAAUUCUCAUGGCCAACAAAGGAGUUACCACCAGGCUUCAAAAGAAAAUGAGACUGUUGUAGCAGCAGUUCACCCAAUUGCAACCAAACCUUGACUAAAAGAUUGACUCAUGUUUGAAGGACUUCAAUGACACUAUCAAAGAUAGAUCAUUAUUGAAGGAAUCAAUGAGAAUUCUUGAGAGAAUGAUGACCAAAAAGGGCAAUCAGACCAACACUGAAGUGUUAGUGGAAUGGGUAGACACCUUUCCAGAGGACUCGAAUUGGGAGGUUUGGACAGAGUUUCAACAGCAAUAUCCUUCUUUUGAUCUUUGAGGACAAUGAUCUGCUUUAAGUGAGGAGUAUUUGUUCUGGUAUGAAAGUUGGUAGGGGUCGAGCAUCAAUAUAUUAGGAGCAAGGGUGUCUUUUCUUUUAUUUCUGUUAAUGUUGUUAGUUUAAUUUUUGCUUGUGAAAUGCUACAUUUUAAAUUUGCUAGAAUUAAUGAAAACGUUGUGUUUUGGGGAGGGGAAAUCGUUUAGUGAAA